CUAUACAUGACUCUGCGCAUAUCAAUAAGCGGAGGAAAAGAAACUAACAAGGAUUCCCUUAGUAACGGCGAGUGAAGCGGGAAGAGCUCAAAUUUGAAAUCUUCAAGGUUCUACCUUGACGAAUUGUAGUUUAUAGAAGUGUUUUCUGUUAGUGGAGUGGCAAAAGUUCUUUGGAAUAGGACAUCAUAGAGGGUGAGAAUCCCGUAUUUGGUCAUUCCUCCUAGCGUUGUGAUACACUUUCAACGAGUCGGAUUGUUUGGGAAUGCAGUCCAAAAUGGGUGGUAAAUUUCAUCUAAAGCUAAAUAUUGGCGAGAGACCGAUAGCGAACAAGUACCGUGAGGGAAAGAUGAAAAGAACUUUGAAAAGAGAGUUAAACAGUACGUGAAAUUGUCAAAAGGGAAGCGUUUGACACCAGUGUUGUUUAGUUGAAAAUCAAUUAAAUAAUUUUUGAUUUUAAGUAGUAUUGACUUCAUCAGCUUGCUGCUUUCUUUUCAGGAAAUUAUUGAAUGCACUUUUCAGUUAACAAGUCAACAUCAAUUUCUUUUGUUGUAAAAGGGUAAGAGGAAGGUGGCUUACGCUUCGGCGUAAGUGUUUAUAGCCUUUUACCUCUGCAAUCGGAGAGAUUGAGGACAGCAGCGUAGACUCUUCGGGGUUAGAUACACUUGUGCUAAGCUAUAGGCCUUGUAUAGACAACUUGUUGACUAUGCUCAGUCAUGUAGCUUACUCGCUUGUGCUAUUUUACCUACGCUUAGGAUGUUGAAGAUAUGCGCGACACGGACUCUAUACAUGACUCUGCGCACAUCAAUAAGCGGAGGAAAAGAGGACUAUUACCUACGCUUAGGAUGUUGAAGAUAUGCGCGACACG
rnacentral:rRNA from 1 species